AGUGAACGCUGGCGGUAGGCCUAACACAUGCAAGUCGAACGGCAGCACAGUAAGAGCUUGCUCUUACGGGUGGCGAGUGGCGGACGGGUGAGGAAUACAUCGGAAUCUACUUUUUCGUGGGGGAUAACGUAGGGAAACUUACGCUAAUACCGCAUACGACCUACGGGUGAAAGCAGGGGAUCUUCGGACCUUGCGCGAUUGAAUGAGCCGAUGUCGGAUUAGCUAGUUGGCGGGGUAAAGGCCUACCAAGGCGACGAUCCGUAGCUGGUCUGAGGGGAUGAUCAGCCACACUGGAACUGAGACACGGUCCAGACUCCUACGGGAGGCAGCAGUGGGGAAUAUUGGACAAUGGGCGCAAGCCUGAUCCAGCCAUACCGCGUGGGUGAAGAAGGCCUUCGGGUUGUAAAGCCCUUUUGUUGGGAAAGAAAAGCAGCAGGUUAAUACCCCGCUGUUCUGACGGUACCCAAAGAAUAAGCACCGGCUAACUUCGUG
rnacentral:rRNA from 1 species